UGAGGAAUAUUGGGCAAUGCCCGAAAGGGUGACCCAGCAACGCCGCGUGGAGGAUGAAGGUCGUAAGAUUGUAAACUCCUGUUAGAGGGGAAGAAUAACUAAGUUUGGAGCUUAGUAUGACUGUACCCUCAGAGAAAGCCCCGGCUAACUACGUGCCAGCAGCCGCGGUAAUACGUAGGGGGCAAGCGUUGUCCGGAUUUACGGGGUGUAAAGGGCGCGCAGGCGGAAUGGAAAGUCAGUGGUGAAAUCCUACAGCUUAACUGUAGAACUGCCAUUGAUACUUUCAUUCUUGAGUUCGGGAGAGAGAGACGGAAUUCCAGGUGUAGUGGUGAAAUACGUAGAUAUCUGGAAGAACACCAGUUGCGAAGGCGGUCUCCUGGUCCGAUACUGACGCUGAGGCGCGAA
rnacentral:rRNA from 1 species